UACAGAGGGGGCAAGCGUUGUUCGGAAUUACUGGGCGUAAAGGGCGCGUAGGCGGCCACCUAAGUCAGACGUGAAAUCCCUCGGCUCAACCUGGGAACUGCGUCCGAUACUGGAUGGCUUGAAUCCGGGAGAGGGAUGCAGAAUUCCAGGUGUAGCGGUGAAAUGCGUAGAUAUCUGGAGGAAUACCGGUGGCGAAGGCGGCAUCCUGGACCGGCAUUGACGCUGAGGAGCGAAAGCUAGGGGAGCAAACGGGG
rnacentral:rRNA from 1 species